UACGGAGGGGGCUAGCGUUGUUCGGAAUUACUGGGCGUAAAGCGCACGUAGGCGGCUUUGUAAGUUAGAGGUGAAAGCCCGGGGCUCAACUCCGGAAUUGCCUUUAAGACUGCAUCGCUAGAAUUGUGGAGAGGUAAGUGGAAUUCCGAGUGUAGAGGUGAAAUUCGUAGAUAUUCGGAAGAACACCAGUGGCGAAGGCGAGUCCCUGGACAACUCCUGACACUGAGGCACGAAAGCUAGGGGAGCAAACAGG
rnacentral:rRNA from 1 species